GUGUAGCCCUAUACCUACACAGAACGCUACUACAGAGCCACAGGGGCUCUGUGCUUGUAAGUACCCAAUUGGCACUUAUUUUGAGUAUUACUCCAUCUUACUGUACUACCCUAUCGUACGUUAUAUAUUUUCCCCAGGACUGAACACACAUCCCAUAGAGGGGUGGGUCGCCUAAACGGACCCAGAAGUUAUUCAAACUGGAGCUAGGUUCUAUAUAUAUUUUGGUGACUUUGAUCCAUUUGCAAUGACAGACAGACAUACAAUUUCAUUGAUUUGAAGUACACUCACUGAUAGACACACAGUUUUUUUUAACUGCGCGCUGUUUAGUAUGCUGGAAUCAGAAUGACAUCAUAUUCCUGCUCCCAGCAACACAGAGGGUGCAGGAGUGUAGAACUGCAAGAUCAGCACUCCCUCGCCGCCGCUGGCUGCCUGACUCCUCUCGGAAGAUUAGGCACCCGCCAUUCAGGUAAGCAAGGGGCUCCUCUGCCUAACAGAAUAAACAUCGCACCAGGGACGCCCUACGGUGGCCAGUUGACCACCGCCUGUGCCCCCUUCUCUCUGCGCUCAUCACCCUCAGGCGCCUGGGCACGGUGACCCACCCAGGAUCAGCUAUAUAUGUCCCCACUAAUACUGGGUGGGUGCACCAUGCCCGAGCACCUGAAGGUGGGAAGCGCAGAGAGAAGCCCUGUCACAGGUAUAUUUGCUGAUUAUCGGAUAAGAUUGGGUUAUGUUCCUGUCUUUAAAUAAUAUGAUCUCUGCAUUUACCUUUAAUCAAGUGAAGCUAAAUGUUUGUCAGCUCCUGUGUGCUCCAUGCUCACUAUUACCAUGUUUCUUCUUUCAGUCACAGGAACAAAUUGUCUGAGCUGCCUGGCCAAGUCUAUCAUUGGUGGUUCCGUGGUGCUGUUUGCAAGCACUGUGCCCCUUAUUGUGUUCUGUUUAUACCCUGUGUGGAGCGAGAAGCGGAAUUCAUGAACACCCAGAGAUCAUAAUUCGGGAAUACCGGGCUCAGCCAAUGGAAUCAAAGAGUGAACAACGCCGAAGGGAUUUACAGAGUGUGACGAUAAUUCAGCCAUUAUAACAGAAACUAUUGUAUAUAAACAGACAGACAGUAAACACUUAGCAACUGAUCUAUUAUAAAACGAAACGCAUUGCUGCCAAGCAUCCUGUCUAAUAUUCAGAUUAACAUUAUUAAAGGGACACUGUAGUCACUAUAACCACUUUGUCUCUUUGAAUUGGUUAUAGUGCCUGGAGUGGCCUGGCACUGUCCCUCCAUUCAGUGUUGCACAAUGUUUGUGCAGUAUGCCACAAAAUAAGAGUCCCUGGCCACCCACAGUCUGGCCCCUUCUGUACACACUUCCUUGUUGUCAUACCCAUUCAUACCAUCAGUUGGAGCUCUGAGAGGUUAAACGCAGUCAGCUGACACACUCAGCCAAUCACAGCUGCCCACUGCCUCUCAGGGUAAUACUUCCUUAUUAGCCAAAGCAGCACAGAGGGGGAUAGACUGCCGGGGACUCUUGUUUAGCAUUAAAACAUUAAAAACUGUUUAAUGCUGAAAGAAAUGAUGGUACCAGGGGACUCCAGACACUAUAACCAGUUUAAUGAGUUGAAGCAGAUACAGUGCCUACGGUGUCCCUUUAAAUAUUACUAUUACUUGCAGAAUAAUAUCUUAUUAUUAAUAUUGUGGUCCGGACCCCGUUUGUGAAGGACUGGCCCAUCACAUUCAGGUAUUUUUUGUUGACUGGAUACCAAAGUUUAUCCAGUUUAUUUUGUUUAGUUUGUUCCGUUCCCAAAUUGAGACCACCCCAGAGACCCAUUAGAAUGUGGAAUGUUAAGUAUCCUGUGCGAAAAACACAACAGAACGAACUAAUUGAAUGCUCCACUGGAUGGCCGCCAUUUCGUACAUACAAAUGCACGUGGUCAAGACAAUGUAGGAUCUUUGUCUCCCGAACGCAGGCAGCAGGACUGCCUGGAACUCAUUUUGGCCAGGCAUUCACGCGAACACCGGUCAUCAUGGACCCACUGCUUGUUCCUGUUCCACGACACCUACACGAACUGCGUUCAGAAGUUACAGACUACCAAACAUAGGGAGCAUUUUCCACUGACUUGCUUUCAUCCAGCUUGCAUGGUUUUCACACCAAACUCCACGAACGAAGACCGGUUCUUGUCAUGAUUUCCCUGGAACUAUUUUGGGCUUCAACCUCGUGUUAGACUGGUCACAACUACCCUGCGAUGGCGAUCCAAAACCACCAAACGGAUCUAAUAUUCAGAGUAACGUUGUUAAAUAGUACUAUAACUUUUUUAAUACCCUAUUAUUAAGAUUGUGGGCCGGAUCCUGUCUAAGAUUCCAGGUAAUCUACCGAAUAGAAUAGAAAAAAGGCACGAGGUCUUUUAUGAAGAAACAAAGAAAGAAAAAGCAAUGUUUUUCUUAUACGUAUGAAUUCAGGCACUGAGUUGUUUUUUUGGCUACAUAUGAGAAACGCUCUAUAUUGUAUUGGUAAGCCUUUUGUCUAGCGCUGCACUGUGUGUACAUUAAGGGGGUUAUCAUCUAAACUUAGUUUUCACUAAUCUACGAGGUCUUUUAUGAGCCUUUUUGCAUGGCCCAUAGUCCUGAGGCAGGAGGCUGGCAAACAGGCCCCUCCAAGAACCAGUGGAAAGGUUACUUUCGCCACACCUUGUUAUUAGUAACAUCAUGUGCCGGAUCCGGUCUAAAAAUUCUGAGUAAUGUUAUUAAAUAUUAUUACAACUUGCGGAUUAAUACCUUAUUAGUAACAUCGUGGGACGGAUCCUGUCAGCCCAGUAAACGGUUACUGAAUAGCAAUGCCGCCAUUGAAGUCUGUGGGGAAAUUCAGGAAAUGUAUUUACAUCAUCAACAUAUACAUAUAUAUAUUCACAGCAAACUAGAAAUAGUCUCUAAUCGGCUCUGUCAGAUCAACUUGCCUUAAAUAUUAAAUUCACCCUGAAUGACCCGGUUUGUCUUCCAUUGCACUUCCAGUUGUGGACACUAGAUGCCAUUAAAAGUGCAGUUAUGUGAAUCAGAACAUUAUUAUUAUUUAUAUAGCACCAACAGAUUCCACAGCGCUGUACAAUGAGAGGACUGAAAUACACGUAUUUGUAACCAGACAAGUUGGACGCACAGUAACAGAGGGAUUGAGGCCCUGCUCAGUGAGCUUACAUGUUAGAGGGAGUGGGGUAUAAUGACACAGUAACAGAGGGAUUGAGGCCCUGCUCAGUGAGUUUACAUGUUAGAGGGAGUGGGGUAUAGUGACACAGUAACAGAGGGAUUGAGGGCCUGCUCAGUGAGUUUACAUGUUAGAGAGAGUGGGGUAUAGUGACACAGUAACAGAGGGAUUGAGGGCCUGCUCAGUGAGUUUACAUGUUAGAGGGAGUGGGGUAUAGUGACACAGUAACAGAGGGAUUGAGGGCCCUGCUCAGUGAGUUUACAUGUUAGAUGGAGUGGGGUAUAGUGACACAGUAACAGAGGGAUUGAGGGCCUGCUCAGUGAGUUUACAUGUUAGAGGGAG